rnacentral:rRNA from 1 species
UACGGAGGAUUCAAGCGUUAUCCGGAUUUAUUGGGUUUAAAGGGUGCGUAGGCGGUCGGAUAAGUUAGAGGUGAAAUCCCGGGGCUUAACUUCGGAAUUGCCUCUGAUACUGUUCGGCUAGAGAGUAGUUGCGGUAGGCGGAAUGUAUGGUGUAGCGGUGAAAUGCUUAGAGAUCAUACAGAACACCGAUUGCGAAGGCAGCUUACCAAGCUACUUCUGACGUUGAGGCACGAAAGCGUGGGGAGCAAACAGG